rnacentral:rRNA from 1 species
CCUACGGGGGGCAGCAGUGAGGAAUAUUGGUCAAUGGGCGAGAGCCUGAACCAGCCAAGUCGCGUGAGGGAGUACUGCCCUAUGGGUUGUAAACCUCUUUUGUCGGGGAGCAAAAGCCGGACGUGUCCGGCUGUGAGAGUACCCGAAGAAAAAGCAUCGGCUAACUCCGUGCCAGCAGCCGCGGUAAUCCGGAGGAUGCGAGCGUUAUCCGGAUUUAUUGGGGUUAAAGGGUGCGCAGGCGGAUGUUUAAGUCAGCGGUCAAAUCGUGGGGCUCAACCCCAUCCAGCCGUUGAAACUGGGGAUCUAGAGUGUGCGAGAGGUAUGCGGAAUGCGUGGUGUAGCGGUGAAAUGCAUAGAUAUUACGCAGAACCCCGAUUGCGAAGGCAGCAUACCGGUGCACAACUGACGCUCAGGCACGAAAGCGUGGGUAUCGAACAGGAUUAGAUACCCCGGUAGUC